rnacentral:rRNA from 1 species
AUACUCGGGGAUAGCCUUUCGAAAGAAAGAUUAAUAUCCGAUAGCAUAUAUUUCCCGCAUGGGUUUUAUAUUAAAGAAAUUCGGUAUGAGAUGGGGAUGCGUUCCAUUAGUUUGUUGGGGGGGUAACGGCCCACCAAGACUACGAUGGAUAGGGGUUCUGAGAGGAAGGUCCCCCACAUUGGAACUGAGACACGGUCCAA